CGCAGAAAUGCGUAGUCGAUGGGAAACAGGUCAAUAUUCCUGUACCGAUUCUAGAUGCGAUGUGGGGACGGAGAAGGUUAGGUCAGCCAACUGUUGGAAUAGUUGGUUUAAGCGUGUAGGCGUGCCCCUUAGGCAAAUCCGGGGGGCUUAGCUGAGGCGUGACGACGAGGUCUCUUUGAGACCGAAGUGAUUGAUACCCUGCUUCCAGGAAAAGCCACUAAGCUUCAGUCUAGAAUUGACCGUACCGCAAACCGACACAGGUGGGCAGGUAGAAGAUACUAAGGCGCUUGAGAGAACUCAGGAGAAGGAACUCGGCAAAUUGAUACCGUAACUUCGGGAGAAGGUAUGCCCUGGUAGCUUGUAGGAGAACAUCCGAAGGGCGACGGGGCCGCAGAGAAUCGGUGGCUGCGACUGUUUAUUAAAAACACAGCACUCUGCAAACACGAAAGUGGACGUAUAGGGUGUGACGCCUGCCCGGUGCCGGAAGGUUAAGUGAUGGGGUGCAAGCUCUUGAUCGAAGCCCCGGUAAACGGCGGCCGUAACAAUAACGGUCCUAAGGUAGCGAAAUUCCUUGUCGGGUAAGUUCCGACCUGCACGAAUGGCGUAACGAUGGCCACACUGUCUCCUCCUGAGACUCAGCGAAGUUGAAGUGUUUGUGAAGAUGCAAUCUCCCCGCGGCUAGACGGAAAGACCCCAUGAACCUUUACUGUAGCUUUGCAUUGGACUUUGACGGGACUUGUGUAGGAUAGGUGGGAGGCGCUGAGACCAGGACGCUAGUUCUGGUGGAGCCGUCCUUAAAAUACCACCCUGGUGUCAUUGAGGUUCUAACCUGGGUCCAUCAUCUGGAUCGGGGACCGUGCAUGGUAGGCAGUUUGACUGGGGCGGUCUCCUCCCAAAAGGUAACGGAGGAGUACGAAGGUCUUCUAGGUACGGUCGGACAUCGUACUGAUAGUGCAAUGGCAAAAGAAGGCUUGACUGCGAGACCGACAAGUCGAGCAGGUGCGAAAGCAGGUCUUAGUGAUCCGGUGGUUCUGUAUGGAAGGGCCAUCGCUCAACGGAUAAAAGGUACUCUGGGGAUAACAGGCUGAUUCCGCCCAAGAGUUCACAUCGACGGCGGAGUUUGGCACCUCGAUGUCGGCUCAUCACAUCCUGGGGCUGUAGCCGGUCCCAAGGGUAUGGCUGUUCGCCAUUUAAAGUGGUACGUGAGCUGGGUUUAAAACGUCGAGAGACAGUUUGGUCCCUAUCUGCCGUGGGCGCUGGAUAUUUGAGGGGGCCUGCUCCUAGUACGAG
rnacentral:rRNA from 1 species